rnacentral:rRNA from 1 species
GACGAACGCUGGCGGCGUGCUUAACACAUGCAAGUCGAACGGAAAGGCCCUGCUUUUGUGGGGCGCUCGAGUGGCGAACGGGUGAGUAACACGUGAGUAACCUGCCCUUGACUUUGGGAUAACUUCAGGAAACUGGGGCUAAUACCGGAUAUGAGCUCCUGCUGCAUGGUGGGGGUUGGAAAGUUUCGGCGGUUGGGGAUGGACUCGCGGCUUAUCAGCUUGUUGGUGGGGUAGUGGCUUACCAAGGCUUUGACGGGUAGCCGGCCUGAGAGGGUGACCGGCCACAUUGGGACUGAGAUACGGCCCAGACUCCUACGGGAGGCAGCAGUGGGGAAUAUUGCACAAUGGGCGGAAGCCUGAUGCAGCAACGCCGCGUGCGGGAUGACGGCCUUCGGGUUGUAAACCGCUUUCGCCUGUGACGAAGCGUGAGUGACGGUAAUGGGUAAAGAAGCACCGGCUAACUACGUG